rnacentral:sRNA from 1 species
ACUGGGUGUUGUGGUGGGCACCUGUAGUCCCAGCUACUUGGGAGGCUGAGGCAAGAUUGCUUAAGCCCAAGAAUUUGAGGUUGCUGUGAGCUGUGACACCACAGUACUCUACCGAGGGUGACACAGUGAAACUCUGUCUCAAAAUAAAAUAAAAUAUAUAUUUUUUUGAGACAGAGUCUCUCACUUUGUCAUCCUCAGUAGAGUGCUGUUGCAUCAUAGCUUAUAGCAACCUCAAACUCUUGGGCUUAAGCAAUUUUCUUGCCU